GGGCGCAUAGCUCAGCUGGCUAGAGCGCACGGUUCACAUCCGUGAGGUCGGGAGUUCAAGUCUCUCUGCGCCCAUCA
rnacentral:tRNA from 1 species